rnacentral:rRNA from 1 species
AGAGCGCAGGGUGGAUGCCUUGGCACUAAGAGCCGAUGAAAGACGUGAUAAGCUGCGAAAAGCUUCGGGGAGGAGCAAAUAUCCUUUGAUCCGGAGAUCUCUGAAUGGGGAAACCUACUUGAGUGUACCUCAAGUGACGUAUGGUGAAUACAUAGCCAUACGCCGGGAACCCGGUGAACUGAAACAUCUAAGUAGCCGGAGGAAGAGAAAGAAACAUCGAUUCCGAAAGUAGCGGCGAGCGAAAUUGGAAGAGCCCAAACCGGAAUGCGUGCAUUCCGGGGUUAUGGACCACGUUAUGUGACCCGUAUGGUAAUGGAACUGUCUGGGAAGUCAGACCAAAGAGAGUGAAAGUCUCGUACAUGAAACCAGAAGGGAGCUAGUGGGAUCCAGAGUACUGCGAGACACGUGGAACCUUGCAGGAAGUCGGGGGGACCACCCCCCAAGGCUAAAUACUCCUUAGUGACCGAUAGCGCAUAGUACUGUGAAGGAAAGGUGAAAAGGACCCCGGGAGGGGAGUGAAAGAGAACCUGAAACCCUGUGUUUACAAGCUGUGGAAGCACGUUAAGGUGCAACCGCGUACUUUUUGUAGAACGGUCCGGCGAGUUGCGGAUGCUGGCAAGGUUAAGCACUGAAGGUGCGGAGCCGAAGCGAGAGCAAGUCUGAAUAGGGCGUCAAGUCAGCAUGUGCAGACCCGAAACCGGGUGAUCUAUCCAUGUCCAGGUUGAAGCGAAAGUAAAAUUUCGUGGAGGACCGAACGCACAUCCGUUGAAAAGGGUGGCGAUGAGGUGUGGAUAGGGGAGAAAUUCCAAUCGAACCCGGAGAUAGCUGGUUCUCCUCGAAAUAGCUUUAGGGCUAGCCUCGUAUUAGUCUGGUGGAGGUAGAGCACUGAAUUUCCUAGGGGGCGUCAAAGCCUACCGAAGAAUAUCAAACUCCGAAUGCCAUACAGAUGAUGUACGGGAGUCAGACGGCACGAGAUAAGUUGGGUCGUCAAAAGGGAAAGAGCCCAGACCUGCAGCUAAGGUCCCAAAGUGUGUGUUAAGUGGAAAAGGAUGUGGGAUUUCAAAGACAACUAGGAUGUUGGCUCAGAAGCAGCCACACAUUCAAAGAGUGCGUAAUAGCUCACUAGUCGAGAGGUCCUGCGCCGAAAAUGUCCGGGGCUGAAACACAACACCGAAGCUCAGGAAUGUAUUUAUACAUUGGUAGAGGAGCAUUCUUAAAGGGGCGAAGCAGUACCGAUAAGGAGCUGUGGACUUUUAAGAAGAGAGAAUGCCGGAAUGAGUAGCGAGAUGGAGGUGGGAAUCCUCCAGGCCGAAUAUCUAAGGUUUCCAGGGUAAAGCUGAUCUGCCCUGGGUAAGUCGGGGCCUAAGGCAAGGCUGAGAAGCGUAGCUGAUGGACAACAGGUUUAGAUUCCUGUACCACAUGAUAUCAGAACUGUGGGGACGCAGAGGGAUAAGAUGACCGGGGAACAGAACUCCGGGCAAGCGUAGGAGGUGUCAGGCAGGCAAAUCCGCCUGAUAAGCCAAAGACGUGACGCGGACCGAACUCAAGUAGGGAAGCAUCCGAUUCCAGCUGCCGAGAAAAGCCGCUAUUGUGUAUCAUGUGCCCGUACCGUAAACCGACACAGGUGGAUGAGGAGAGAAUCCUAAGGCCGGCGGGAGAAGCAUUGUUAAGGAACUCGGCAAAAUGACCCCGUAACUUCGGGAGAAGGGGUGCCACAGAGAUGUGGCCGCAGAGAAUAGGCUCAAGCAACUGUUUAGCAAAAACACAGGUCUAUGCGAAACCGUAAGGUGAAGUAUAUGGGCUGACGCCUGCCCGGUGCUGGAAGGUUAAGAGGAGAGGUUAGAGCAAUCGAAGCUUUGAAUUGAAGCCCCAGUAAACGGCGGCCGUAACUAUAACGGUCCUAAGGUAGCGAAAUUCCUUGUCGGGUAAGUUCCGACCCGCACGAAAGGCGUAAUGAUUUGAGCGCUGUCUCGACAAUGCACCCGGUGAAAUUGAAAUACCAGUGAAGAUGCUGGUUACCUGCGCCAGGACGGAAAGACCCCAUGGAGCUUUACUCCAGCUUGAUACUGGGAUUCGGUAAUGCAUGCACAGGAUAGGUGGGAGGCUACGAGUACGGAACUCCGGUUUCGUAUGAGCCGCUGUUGGGAUACCACCCUUGCGUUACUGGGUUUCUAACCAUGGUCCGUGAUCCGGAUCGGGGACAAUGUCAGGUGGGGAGUUUGACUGGGGCGGUCGCCUCCGAAAGGGUAUCGGAGGCGCUCAAAGGU